rnacentral:rRNA from 1 species
CUACGGGAGGCAGCAGUGGGGAAUAUUGCACAAUGGGCGCAAGCCUGAUGCAGCCAUGCCGCGUGUAUGAAGAAGGCCUUCGGGUUGUAAAGUACUUUCAGCGGGGAGGAAGGGAGUAAAGUUAAUACCUUUGCUCAUUGACGUUACCCGCAGAAGAAGCACCGGCAACUCCGUGCCAGCAGCCGCGGUAAUACGGAGGGUGCAAGCGUUAAUCGGAAUUACUGGGCGUAAAGCGCACGCAGGCGGUUUGUUAAGUCAGAUGUGAAAUCCCCGGGCUCGACCUGGGAACUGCAUCUGAUACUGGCAAGCUUGAGUCUCGUAGAGGGGGGUAGAAUUCCAGGUGUAGCGGUGAAAUGCGUAGAGAUCUGGAGGAAUACCGGUGGCGAAGGCGGCCCCCUGGACGAAGACUGACGCUCAGGUGCGAAAGCGUGGGGAGCAAACAGGAUUAGAUACCCCAGUAGUC